UACGGAGGGUGCAAGCGUUAUCCGGAUUCACUGGGUUUAAAGGGUGAGUAGGCGGGCAAUUAAGUCCGUGGUGAAAUACCUGAGCUUAACUUGGGAACUGCCAUGGAUACUAUUUGUCUUGAAUGUCGUGGAGGUUAGCGGAAUAUGUCAUGUAGCGGUGAAAUGCUUAGAUAUGACAUAGAACACCUAUUGCGAAGGCAGCUAACUACGCGAAUAUUGACGCUGAGGCACGAAAGCGUGGGGAUCAAACAGGAUUAGAUACCCUGGUAGUCCACGCCCUAAACGAUGAUUACUCGACAUUGGCGAUACACAGUCAGUGUCUGAGCGAAAGCAUUAAGUAAUCCACCUGGGAAGUACGACCGCAAGGUUGAA
rnacentral:rRNA from 1 species